rnacentral:rRNA from 1 species
UACGUAGGGUGCAAGCGUUAUUCGGAAUUACUGGGCGUAAAGCGUGCGCAGGCGGUUAUGUAAGUCAGGUGUGAAAUCCCCGGGCUCAACCUGGGAACUGCAUUUGUGACUGCAUAGCUAGAGUACGGUAGAGGGGGAUGGAAUUCCGCGUGUAGCAGUGAAAUGCGUAGAUAUGCGGAGGAACACCGAUGGCGAAGGCAAUCCCCUGGACCUGUACUGACGCUCAUGCACGAAAGCGUGGGGAGCAAACAGG